GCGGAAGCGCGAGCACGUGUAUCCGUGCGCCGAGCCUGCGGGGGGCGGCGCGUGGGGCCUUUGUGGUGAACUCUGAAGGUUGAGCGUGCACCCCUUUAUCCACUUGCGGUCAGGUCUUUUCAAGACGUCGAUCUAUUCGUCUUUGCAGAACGGAAGUAUAUUAAAUCCGGAUACUUGAAGUCAUUUCACAGCAGUGAAAUGAGGGACAAUGAACAAAAAAACUCGCAUUUGGAGUAGCAGGAGCCCAGACCCUUCACUAAGGACCCCAAGAUCUUCCAAGUUAAGGUUCCGUGUCCUGAGAGCUCCUGCUGUCUUCUGAAGAACUGGAGCUCCCGACCCCUCCCUUAUGAUUUCUGAACCUUGGGACCUACCAAUUAUGCACUGUUUUCUUCUGAUGAGAUUUGCUUUCGUUUCUGAGGUUUCGCCCUUCCCCCUCUCCUCAGCCCCACUGGUUGGGCGGUGGGUAAACAAUACCGAAGCGCGAGAGGACCUGGGGUUGGUGGGAGAUAUCUGGACACCUCAUGCGCAAUUUUUUUUUUUUUUUCUGAUCCUUGCUUGCUCACUGAAUCCCUUUCCAACUGUGUUUAACUUUCACGAAGUUUUUAAUGGUGUAAGAAUACAAGUAUUUUGGCUUCUUCAAAACACAACGAGGUCUGGGUUGCACAUUGUGUGGAAGGUGCUGUUAUCUUUCAAGUGUGGCUGACAUGGGGCUUUCUGAUUGAAUGUCACCUUAGGCCCUCUGUAUGGGGUAAACAACCACCAGGGCUCCUCCCGGUGGAGUUGCCAACGACUUGGUGGUUGAAAGUGAUGUUUCUAAAAAACCACAGCAGGUCUUUCCUGUCUGAACUGAAUUGUGUGUUGAACUGACUUGGCGUUCUUGCAGAUUUCUCACCAGCCCCAGCUCUGUGCAGAACGUAGACUUUCCGCCACGGGUCGGGUCGCUCUCCUGCACUUCCUCUCAUUGUCAGCCCCAGGGCGUUGAGGCUGGGGUCCUCUCUAGCUCCCUCCACUUUACAAGAGACUUUUCUAAACAUUUUGCUUUUCCAACUCUUAUUGCUUUUGUCAUUGUGAAGAGUCGCCUAUGCCACUGGAGCUCAGUACUGAGAUCAAGCUCAGAACUGGUCUGUGUGUGAGGCUACCUGAUGUACGCACAUGCUUUUGGAAUGACGCUGUGUGGUGGAAGGACUAUUAGAACUCAAAAGAAUAGUUAAUAAAUCCAGUAUUAGUCACUUGCAA
rnacentral:lncRNA from 1 species